rnacentral:rRNA from 1 species
CCUACGGGUGGCAGCAGUGAGGAAUAUUGGUCAAUGGACGCAAGUCUGAACCAGCCAUGCCGCGUGCAGGAAGACGGCUCUAUGAGUUGUAAACUGCUUUUGUACGAGGGUAAACGCAGAUACGCGUAUCUGUUUGAAAGUAUCGUACGAAUAAGGAUCGGCUAACUCCGUGCCAGCAGCCGCGGUAAUACGGAGGAUUCAAGCGUUAUCCGGAUUUAUUGGGUUUAAAGGGUGCGUAGGCGGUCGGAUAAGUUAGAUGUGAAAUCCCGAGGCUCAACUUCGGAAUUGCAUCUGAUACUGGUCGGCUAGAGAGUAGUUGCGGUAGGCGGAAUGUAUGGUGUAGCGGUGAAAUGCUUAGAGAUCAGACAGAACACCGAUUGCGAAGGCAGCUUACCAAGCUACUACUGACGUUGAGGCACGAAAGCGUGGGGAGCAAACAGGAUUAGAUACCCCUGUAGUC